rnacentral:rRNA from 1 species
UACGUAGGGUGCAAGCGUUAAUCGGAAUUACUGGGCGUAAAGCGUGCGUAGGCGGUUUGUUAAGUCUGUUGUGAAAGCCCCGGGCUCAACCUGGGAAUGGCAAUGGAACGUGCGAGCUAGAGUACGGUAGAGGAGAGUGGAGUUCCCCGGUGUAGCGGUGGAAUGCGUAGAGAUCCGGAAGAACACCGGUGGCGAAGGCGGCCUGCGUGGGCUAUGGCUGACACUGGAGGCGCGACAGCGUGGGAGCAAACA